rnacentral:misc_RNA from 1 species
AAGUCGUAACAAGGUUUCCGUAGGUGAACCUGCGGAAGGAUCAUUAACUAAAUGUUGGUGGGUGUUAUACCCACCAUUAACCUUUGUGAAUUGACCGAGAUUCCUUAUCGAAUCUUAGUCUACCUAGAAAUUUAAAGAGUCUAAUUUAUUAAUAACAUUAAUAAUACAACUUUUAACAAUGGAUCUCUAGGCUCUU